GUAAACUAUUCCAUUUUGUGCCACCCACUUAAUGGGGAAUUUAUGCAAGGCCAAGCAUUAUUCAAUUUGACAGCAGAAAUACAAGGCGAAAAAGUCAAAUGUGUCAGGCACAGCGCACAGUUUUUCGCAAUACUCAAGUAAAUCAUAUAAAUUUAUGUUGAUACUAAAAUGGACCAAGGAAGAUGGAAAUGAAAGUGAAAAGGGCAGCAGAAAAGAAAAACUGUAGUAAAAUGAAUAUCAAAGGUCAGCAGGAUGGCCGGACGGACAUGCUAUUGUAAGAGGGCCCUUUUUCUCACAGCCGAAAUAUGAAGCAAAAACACUGCUAAUAGCUGAACUGGAAAAUUUUCGAAGAAAAAAAAAAUUCCAUUUCAUGAAAUUGUAGUUUGCUUUAAUAUCAUCUCAUAAAGCUAAAUAUAUGGAAAACAUUUUUA
rnacentral:sRNA from 1 species